GAUGGAUGGUAGCUCAGUUGGUUAGAGCGUGGUGCUGAUAACACCAAGGUUGCGGUCUCAAUCGCCAUAUUG